rnacentral:rRNA from 1 species
UACGUAGGGUGCAAGCGUUAAUCGGAAUUACUGGGCGUAAAGCGUGCGCAGGCGGCUAUGCAAGACAGAUGUGAAAUCCCCGGGCUCAACCUGGGAACUGCAUUUGUGACUGCAUGGCUAGAGUACGGUAGAGGGGGGAUGGAAUUCCGCGUGUAGCAGUGAAAUGCGUAGAUAUGCGGAGGAACACCGAUGGCGAAGGCAAUCCCCCUGGACCUGUACUGACGCUCAUGCACGAAAGCGUGGGGAGCAAACAGG